GACGAACGCUGGCGGCGUGCCUAAUACAUGCAAGUCGAACGAACUCUGGUAUUGAUUGGUGCUUGCAUCAUGAUUUACAUUUGAGUGAGUGGCGAACUGGUGAGUAACACGUGGGAAACCUGCCCAGAAGCGGGGGAUAACACCUGGAAACAGAUGCUAAUACCGCAUAACAACUUGGACCGCAUGGUCCGAGCUUGAAAGAUGGCUUCAGCUAUCACUUUUGGAUGGUCCCGCGGCGUAUUAGCUAGAUGGUGGGGUAACGGCUCACCAUGGCAAUGAUACGUAGCCGACCUGAGAGGGUAAUCGGCCACAUUGGGACUGAGACACGGCCCAAACUCCUACGGGAGGCAGCAGUAGGGAAUCUUCCACAAUGGACGAAAGUCUGAUGGAGCAACGCCGCGUGAGUGAAGAAGGGUUUCGGCUCGUAAAACUCUGUUGUUAAAGAAGAACAUAUCUGAGAGUAACUGUUCAGGUAUUGACGGUAUUUAACCAGAAAGCCACGGCUAACUACGUGCCAGCAGCCGCGGUAAUACGUAGGUGGCAAGCGUUGUCCGGAUUUAUUGGGCGUAAAGCGAGCGCAGGCGGUUUUUUAAGUCUGAUGUGAAAGCCUUCGGCUCAACCGAAGAAGUGCAUCGGAAACUGGGAAACUUGAGUGCAGAAGAGGACAGUGGAACUCCAUGUGUAGCGGUGAAAUGCGUAGAUAUAUGGAAGAACACCAGUGGCGAAGGCGGCUGUCUGGUCUGUAACUGACGCUGAGGCUCGAAAGUAUGGGUAGCAAACAGGACUAGAUACCCUGGUAGUCCAUACCGUAAACGAUGAAUGCUAAGUGUUGGAGGGUUUCCGCCCUUCAGUGCUGCAGCUAACGCAUUAAGCAUUCCGCCUGGGGAGUACGGCCGCAAGGCUGAAACUCAAAGGAAUUGACGGGGGCCCGCACAAGCGGUGGAGCAUGUGGUUUAAUUCGAAGCUACGCGAAGAACCUUACCAGGUCUUGACAUACUAUGCAAAUCUAAGAGAUUAGACGUUCCCUUCGGGGACAUGGAUACAGGUGGUGCAUGGUUGUCGUCAGCUCGUGUCGUGAGAUGUUGGGUUAAGUCCCGCAACGAGCGCAACCCUUAUUAUCAGUUGCCAGCAUUAAGUUGGGCACUCUGGUGAGACUGCCGGUGACAAACCGGAGGAAGGUGGGGAUGACGUCAAAUCAUCAUGCCCCUUAUGACCUGGGCUACACACGUGCUACAAUGGAUGGUACAACGAGUUGCGAACUCGCGAGAGUAAGCUAAUCUCUUAAAGCCAUUCUCAGUUCGGAUUGUAGGCUGCAACUCGCCUACAUGAAGUCGGAAUCGCUAGUAAUCGCGGAUCAGCAUGCCGCGGUGAAUACGUUCCCGGGCCUUGUACACACCGCCCGUCACACCAUGAGAGUUUGUAACACCCAAAGUCGGUGGGGUAACCUUUUAGGAACCAGCCGCCUAAGGUGGGACAGAUGAUUAGGGUG
rnacentral:rRNA from 2 species